AGUGAAGUCAGCUAAAUAAGCUCUCGGGCCCAUACCCCGAAAACGUUGGUCUCAAACCUUCCUUCACUA
rnacentral:tRNA from 1 species